rnacentral:misc_RNA from 1 species
AAACUGUUGCCUCGGCGGGGUCACGCCCCGGGUGCGUCGCAGCCCCGGAACCAGGCGCCCGCCGGAGGGACCAACCAAACUCUUUCUGUAGUCCCCUCGCGGACGUUAUUUCUUACAGCUCUGAGCAAAAAUUCAAAAUGAAUCAAAACUUUCAACAACGGAUCUCUUGGUUCUGGCAUCGAUGAAGAACGCAGCGAAAUGCGAUAAGUAAUGUGAAUUGCAGAAUUCAGUGAAUCAUCGAAUCUUUGAACGCACAUUGCGCCCGCCAGUAUUCUGGCGGGCAUGCCUGUCCGAGCGUCAUUUCAACCCUCGAACCCCUCCGGGGGGUCGGCGUUGGGGAUCGGGAACCCCUAAGACGGGAUCCCGGCCCCGAAAUACAGUGGCGGUCUCGCCGCAGCCUCUCAUGCGCAGUAGUUUGCACAACUCGCACCGGGAGCGCGGCGCGUCCACGUCCGUAAAACACCCAACUUCUGAAAUGUUGACCUCGGAUCAGGUAGGAAUACCCGCUGAACUUAAGCAUAUCAA